rnacentral:rRNA from 1 species
CCUGAACGCUGGCGGCGUGGUUAAGACAUGCAAGUCGUACGGUGUAGCAAUACACAGUGGCGAACGGGUGAGUAAUGAAUCGCUAAUGUACCCCGGACUUUGGGAUAGCUGCCCGAAAGGGCAGGUAAUACCAGGUAAUAUAACUUUGUCGCAUGACAGAGUUCUCAAAAGGUCCGCCGGUCUGGGAGCAGGCGAUUUCGUAUCAGCUAGUUGGUAGGGUAACGGCCUACCAAGGCGACGACGCGUAGCCGGACUGAGAGGUUGGCCGGCCACAUUGGGACUGAGACACUGCCCAGACUCCUACGGGGGGCGUGCAGUAACGAAUCUUCCGCAAUGCACGAAAGUGUGACGGAGCGACGCCGCGUGUGGGACGAAGCCCUUCGGGUGUAACCA